rnacentral:rRNA from 1 species
UACAGAGGUGGCAAGCGUUGUUCGGAGUUACUGGGCGUAAAGCGCGUGUAGGCGGCUUUGCAAGUCGGGUGUGAAAGCCCUCAGCUCAACUGAGGAAGUGCGCCCGAAACUGCAGAGCUUGAGUACCGGAGAGGAUGGCGGAAUUCCCCAAGUAGAGGUGAAAUUCGUAGAUAUGGGGAGGAACACCGGUGGCGAAGGCGGCCAUCUGGACGGAUACGUGACGCUGAGACGCGAAAGCGUGGGGAGCAAACAGG